GUAUAUUUUUAUUCACACAUUUUUUUAAUAGAGAAGAAAAUAUGCUCACAUAUACAAACAGUAAAUCAGAAACAUUUUCAAUGGGAAAAAUCCUGAGAAUCCUAAAGUGUUCAAGAUAACAGAUUAUUUAAAGGAUUUUAUAUAACUUAUAAAAAGCAUCUCUUUUGAAUGCUAAUUUGAAUAUUUGAGAAACAACUGAUUGAGUUUAAGAUUUCAGGGAAUACAGCAAAUCUAAACAAUCAGUUUUGAUUUUGCUGUUAUUAACACUACUAACCAAUAGAACCAAAAUUAGAAAAUUACAACAGCGAAAACAGUGUAGUAUUCCAUUCUAGUGAUUAAGGUCAAUAGUGAUGUCAUAUUGAUAGUAUGUUCCUUCAUAGGAUAUAAUGAAAAUGAGACAAACCUCUGUGGUCUUUCUCUCCAAAACAGGUAUGUUUGUCUAAUUGUGAGGAAAACACUCAAAACCAAAAUAAAUAAAUAAAUAAAAUCCAGAUAAAGAAGCAGGCAAAGCCCACAUGAGGGACAUUCUACAAAAUAUCUGACUAGUACCUAUCUCUUCAAAAUUGUCAAGGUCACCAAAACCAAGGAAGUCUGAGAAGCUGUAACAGACACGAAGAACCUGAGGAGACAUGAUGACUAAAUGCAAUGUAGUGCCCUAAAUGAGAUCCUGGAAGAGAAAAAGGACAUGAAAUUAAAAACUACGGAACUCUGAAUAAAGUUUUGGAGACCUAACACUGAACAAUAUAGGCUAGGCCACUUGCUCUCAUGGAACUUAUAUUCUUGCUCAUGGAUAUGGACAAUAAUUAUACAAACAACUGAAGGAAUAUUAUAGAUUCUGAUGGUAAUUACCUUAGUAAAAUCAAUAAGAGACAAACCGAAGUUGUGUAUAUCAUGCUGAUUCAGAAGAGAAUGAAGGCAUUUGUCAAGAGAUAAUGUCAGACUAAACAGACGUGUUCCAAUCGAUUAAUGCAUUUGGAGGAUUUCCAAAUAUUUGCUGAUCUGAGGAGGGUGAGGCUCACCCAGGGCACCUUCCAGUCCUGCAAGCUCCAUUCAUGG